UGAUUUAUGUAUAUAUUGCAAAAUGAUUACCACAAUAAGUCUAGUUAACAUCCAUCACCGCAAAUAGUUACAAAUUCCUUUUUUUUCCCUUGUGAUGAGAACUUUUAACAUCUGCUCUCUUAGCAACUUUCAAAAAUACAAUACAGGGCAGAGGAUCUUAAUAGACAUUUUCCCAAAGAAGACAUACAGAUGGCCAAUAGGCACACGAGAAGAUGCUCAACAUCACUAAUCAUCAAGAAAAGAAGUCAAAACCACAAUGAGGUAUCACCUCAUAUAUGUUAGAAUAGCUAUAGUCAAAAAGACAAGGGAUAAGUGUUGGUGAGGAUGUGGAGAAAAGAGAACCCUUGUGCACCGUUGCUGGGAAUGUAAAUUGGCGCAGCCACUAUGGAAUAUAGUAUGCAGGUUUCUCAAAAAAUUAAAAAUAGAACUACUUACCAUAUGACCCAGCCAUCCCACUGCUGGGUAUUUAUCCGAAGAAAAUGAAAUCACUAUCCCAAAGAGAUAUCUGCACCCCCGUGUUCACUGCAGCAUAAUUUACAAUGGCGAAGACACAGAAGCAACCUAGAGGUCCAUCAACGGAUGAAUGGUGUUCAACAGAGAACAUUUCCUGACAGAGACUUGAGUGAAGGGGCCAGCUCCCCCAGUGCAGUGCUGGUAGUUGGGCUGGCUCAGAAAGACCAAUGUCCUGAGGCUGUUCUCCAGGGGGCCGGCUAGAGGAACAGGCAGUGAUGGUCUCCCAGGGAUGAAUUCUAGAUGCCUCACAGCUGCUGGGAGGAACAAUGCGGCAUGGUCAGGUUGCUAUGGCCUCAGGUGUUAGUGGAGGGAAGAUUGGGGCCCCUGGGAUCCUCACCGGAAGGCCAAGUUGCUGCCCUGGAAUCUUUGGCUUCGGGAACGCUGGAGAUUUGAGGCCCGGGCAUGCACAGUGCCUCCCCCUGUUCUGGCCAGGUGGGCUCGCCCCUGCACAGCUUGUGGAUCAGAGCCUGGGGCGAGAAGCUCCCCCACUGUGACUGUAAGUGGGGCAGGCGAGGCGUUGACAGGAUUGGGGUUUGCUUGAUAGGUAGCAUGAGCCAGACUCUUUAUGGACGAGUCUGAGAUGAGCGACCACCGGCACCUGGAGCACCAGGUGUUUCUCAUUCCAGGACUCCAGUCCCACCCCCGCAGAACUCCAGCUACAUCGAGCUUCCUCUGGGUAGAGUGGACACGCAGCAGCGCUUCGGGCCUGAUUUUGCCUUCUCUGAGCUGUCCCUGACUCUCAGGGCAUCCCGACCCAUCUGCUCCCUGCCCCUCCAUCAAGACCUGCUCUUACUCCCUGCACAUACCAGAAGUCAUGUAGUGGGGGGACAACACAACCAACUUUUUUAAGUCUCAAAAGGAUGUCAAUUGAAACCUGUUAUAGACGAAAUGCACUUCCUAGAAGUCAAUUGGCCAACAUGCAGAGCUGGAGAGAACAGAUUGUGAAAAUAGGAGGCCCUAAAGAUUACAGUGAGGCAGAAUCAAGGAAAGAAGGAGAAAGCCCCAGAAUCAUGGGUGCAGACUUGUAGCAUUGGAUCAGAGAUUCUGACUUUGCCAUACUGAGAGAUUGCCAUCAGCCAAACUAGAGGAAAACAAAGCUGGACUUCCGCACUCUCAUUUCUUAGUGCUUCUCCUCAACAUCCGGGAACCUCGGCACGUCUGCAGUUGAUUUUGAAAAUUGCACUAAGUAAGAUGAAAUUUCUUGUAACCCAGAGCAGUUUUAUUAGGACACAACUGUAGCCAUUUGUUUACUACUAUCUAUGGCUCUUUGACGCUGCACAGCUGAGUGAAAAGAUGUGGAAAAGAUUACCAGACCUGCAUCUGUCUUCAGAGCUGAGCUGUCACUGCUAUCAUCAUCCACCACAUCAAACAGAGAAACUGCCACCUUUAGCCAUCUAGACUCGCCCAGGAGGUGUCUGAACUGGACAUAGGCCUUGGACAACAAUUCAGACAGCUCACCGCUCCUCUGAAGGGGCCAGCUUUCAUCUUCAUUGAAAGCCGAAUGAAGGAAGCCCAUUCCUUCUUCAUUCCCAGAGACCAUUUCUACUCCUGCCAGAUGUCUGCCAGGGCCCUGAAGUACCUAACAGCCCAAUCCAGUCAUUUCACCUUUGAAUCAGUUAUUGUGGCCCAGAUUCCAGAUCUCUUCUGAAUUUGCAGCAUCUUCUCAGUUACAGGCCUGCUGGUCAUCAAAAUAACUCCUACACUCUGCUCAACUCCUCAGUACUACCUGGACAAAAGUCUACUUCUUAUUUUCAAUAAAUGUCAGACGCUGUUAAAAAAGAGUAGUUGACUAGUUACAGGCGACACCGUAUGACCCAUAAAGGCUGAAAUAUUUGCUAUCUGACCAUUUACAGAAAAAGUUUCCUAAUCCCUGAUCUAGGGAAAGAUUAGCAUGAAAUGCAGUUGGAGUGGUAGGUGCCUGCUAUUAAGACAGAAAUCUCUCCGAGUGCUCAAAGCAAUCAUUAUUUCAGGGCUCCAAUUCGACUACCCAUAAUUAUAGAAUGAUAGAAGCAGAAGUACCUCAAGAGACA
ensembl:lncRNA